GAGCCAUAAAACAAAAUCCUGGAGGCCUGAUCUUAGGGGGAUCAUUUGGACCUCUACAUUUAGAUACAUAUUGCUAUUCAUUGAAACAAUUUUUGAGUAGUGAAGUUUUCACAAUAUCUUUUAGUNACAAUAUGAAACUAUCCUUGUAAAUUUUUUACUUUGGACAAAUUAUUGUUUUAAUGAAAAAUAUUUUAUGUUGUUUAUAUCACUCUUAAUUGAAACAGUUAAAACUUUUGUACCUUCACACAUAAAAAUCUUUAAUAAACCUUUUUUUAUAUAGAAUUACAUCUGUUUACCAUUUUAUGAAAACACAAUAAGUAUAUAGAAAUAUAUCUGUUGGAACUUUAAAUUUUAGUAAAACCUUUUUAGUGAUGACAACGUAAAUUUAAACCCCUUAUUUUCAUUUACCAAUUCAUGAAAACAUCAAUAAUGUUACCCAAUGGAAUUGAAGGAGUUAAAAAUGCUUGAUAGUAUAUUUAACAGUUAGCAUUUUUCCCUUGUAAAUUAAUCAGAUGUAUAACAACCAAAAUUAUUGAUAAAUAUGAGUAAUCCCAUGUCAAAUAUACCUUACUUAUUUUACCAAAAUAUCAGACAAGUAUAUUGAAGAGCAUUGUCCAUUUUCCUUGCUGAAGAAAAUUUCUAGAACCAAAGAAUAUUAGACAUGUUACAGACAUCAAUGUUUUAUCAAUUUCUUUUACCACCUAGAGAGACUUGUGAGUUAAGUUUAAUUUUAAAGACAUUUUGUUUUCAUCUGUUUACCCAAUUAAAAAUGAACCAUUUUAAAUCACAUGAAUUAAAGGUAUUUGGAUCAAAUUUUUAAUUUUAUGAGUGCUCCUUAUAUAUCUGCCAAUUUUUGUAUCAUGUACAUGAUAUAUGGACAUAUGUACAUAUCGACAUACAACAUAUAACACAAAUGUGCACACAUAAUGCAAUAGUAAAGGCUUUGUAGCUUUUCGCAGGUGAAAUCUCCAUUGCAAUGUUUAAAAACUCCAUAGUUGAAUAAAAAUAGGGCUGAUUGACAAACAGGUCUGUAGGAUCAAAAUCAUGAGCUCAAAAAAUACAGAAUCUAAGAAGAAGCAAGAGUUCUGGAAAAAUGACCAGCCAGUAAUUAGUAAAAUAUCAUACAAUUUACUUUUUGGUUUAGUCUAAUAUAAGUUCAGGGAAAGGGCACUUUUUCUUUCCUUUUUGAGGGUCUGAGACUGGUCUUCUACUGAGAUUCCAUUUGCAUUUCAAUGUAAGUCCUAGCUUACAUCCCAAAGGAGCUAGGGAAAACUGCUUUUCUGAGCAGAAACCUUAUACCAAAGGCGUUUUAACCAUUUUUUUCCUAGUUGGUAGUUGGACAGGUUUGGAUGUCUAAAAUUAUGGCACCAUAUUUUCUAUUAACUUUGGGAACAAAGCUAUGAUGUUAAGUUCCUUACUAAGACAAGCCAUUUGUGGUUGAGCAGGUCCACUUCCUUAUGUGGCCAUUCCUAGGUUUUGACUUCCUCUCUCAGUGACAAACAGGACAAAUCUUGCUCCAAAGCCUGCUCCUAACUCAGGAGGAGUAAACCUUUUGGUAAUAGGCUGUUCAGAUAUUUUUAAGAGGUCUGUGGUAAGAGGUGAGAACAGAAAACCUGAUCUUCUUCCUCACAAAUGCUCAUCAUCCAGUCUGCCUAUUGGGUCACUGUACAUGCCUCGAUUUUCAUUACAAUUUCAUGUCUGAGUCUUUUCUAAUUUGACAACAAGAAGCUAUUUUUGUGGCAUUUCAUGAACUUCAUUUCAGGUAUGUGUACUAAUUAUCAAAUUAAUAGUAAAAUAGCACAAUCUCUCAGGCAUUAUGUCUUGUGCCUUUUAUGCAUUAUUUUAUUACUUUCUCCCUACCACUUUGUGAAGGUGGCAUUGUUAUCCUCCAGUUGUACUUAAGGAAAAUGGAACUCAAAUCCAUGUUUGUUUGACUUUGUGUCAUAUUUUCUUAGAGUUUUUUUUUUUUCCUGCAGAUGCUAUAUUAUUUAUUUUAGUAGGCAUUUAUUGGAUGACCGUUAAAUGUCAGGUUCUCUUUCAGGCAGUAUUUCUUUUUGUCAGUAGGUAUAGUGGAGGACACACAGAAAUACCAAUAAAAGCAGCAGAGGAUUCUAGUUUCUUUUAACAGAUUAUUAUGCAAAAUCUCUAGAAGACCUUAUGCUGUGCCUUUGGGAAGGAGUGCCAAUGAAACAUGGGGGCCACACAUCUCCCUCCGGAGCCAUAAAACAAAAUCCUGGAGGCCUGAUCUUAGGGGGAUCAUUUGGACCUCUACAUUUAGAUACAUAUUGCUAUUCAUUGAAACAAUUUUUGAGUAGUGAAGUUUUCACAAUAUCUUUUAGUAUUAUAAAUUUCAGUGUUGAUUCAAACACUUUGCUCAUAUCAUCAAUUUAAAAAAUGGUUAGAAUAUGCUGUCCUUAAAAUAGAAGACAAUAUUUUGAUGCACUUUAAAAAGACAAAGUAAUAUUAGGAUUAUGUUGUCUUAGCCUAGGUAUUUGUUUAUGUUCUAGGAGUUUGUGGGUCCUUUUGCACAGAAUAUUUUGAUUAUCUAGAUCCCAUUUUGAUUAGUGUCUUCAAUUGGAACUUUAAAAAAAAAUUUUUAGUUGUAUAUGGACUCAAUCAAUGCCUUUCUUUGUUUUUAUGAGAUGCUAGUUUUGAAACCAGAGCCUCACACUUGUGAGGCAAUUACUCUACCAAUGAGCUACAACUCUAGCCCUCAGUUGGAACUUUUUCUGUUUGGGUGUUGUGCCUGAUGUUGCAGAAAGCUUUGUCCUUGUUUUUGAAGCCAACCUGAUAAUGAGGACAUGGGUUUGUGGAAAAGGAGAAAGAAGGUUUAUUGCUUUUAUAGGAAAGGAGAAUCAAAUCAGACUCAUGUCCCAAAGGCAAUGAUUGUGCCCAUCAAGGGAAAAUAAAUUUGAGGGAAAACUGAUCAGGAAAGAGAAGUUUAGGGCAAAGAAGAUUAUUAUGCAAAGUCUCAGGGAGACAUUAUGCUAUGCCUUUGGGAAGGAGUGUCAGUGAAACGUAGUCUCCACAUGUCACUCUUGAGUUAGAGAACCAUGUCUAGGAGGCCUGACCAUAGAUGGAGCAUUUAGACUAAGAGAUAGAUUAUCCUGUCAAAGAAUCAAUUAAGAAACAAUAAGAUUAUAUUGUAUCAUAGAUCAAGUGAAUUAUUUAAAUGUUCACAAAAUUUUUCAUCUAACAUAUGCAGAAUAUAUAUUCUUUUUUAUCAACAUGUGAAUCUUUUCCCAAAAAUCUACCACAUAUAUUUUUUUCUGGAAGUAAUUAUUUAUAAUUUUUUAAAUUGAAAUAAUUUAUUGCAUCUGAUCUGGUUUAAUGGUACAGAACUAGAAAUCAAUAGCAAGAGAAAAUGUAGAAAUUUUACAAAUAUAUGGAAAUUUAACAACACACUAUUGAAUGAACAGUAGUCACUGAAAAAAUCAGAGGGGAAAUUUACAAUUUUUUAAUUAAAUGAAAAAUGGAAACAUUCAAUAUUAAAAUAGGAAUAGAGAGACUGAGCAAACAAACAAACAAACAAAACACUUCAAUGUUGGAGAUAUAGCAAAAUAGCCUAAAAGAAAAAUACAGAAUGAAUGAUUACAUUAAAACAAGUAGAGAGCUCUCACAUAAAUAUCAUCAUGAUGCACCUAAAAUUCUUACUAAAAGAAGAACAAACUGAACUCCAAUCUAAUACAAAUAAUUAGAAAGGUUCAGAAUAUAGUGACUAAAUGAACAAUAGAAUUGAUUAAUAAAUCAAAUAAUUGGUUUUUAAUGUAUAAACCAAAUUCAAAGACCUUUAGCUAAAUAGCCAAAAGAAAAGAUGAAGAUUCAAAUAAAUUGCAGAUGGAGAAGAUGACAGUAUAACAGACAAGAAUUAAAUGUAAAAGGUUACUCAGAAAUAUUUUGAAGGACUAUAUGCCAAUAAAUGGUAAAGUUUAGAAAGAAUGGGCCAAUUUUGGACACAUAAAAUCAUUAAAAUUGAAAUAAGUGUAUAUGGAAAAUCUAAUAGAUUAGUAACAAGUUAUAAUAUUAAAAUAGGAAUAGAGAGACUGAGCAAGAAAAUCCAACUUCAGUUAAAUUCACUGCUGAAUUUGAACAGACUUUUAUAAAAAAAAAAGUGAUUCUCAAAUCACUGUAUAAAAUUGAAAGAAAAGAAUACUUUCCAACUCAUUUUAAAAUGAUGACAGUAUUAUGUUGUACUAAAAUAUGACAAGUUCACAACAAAAAGAAAGACUACAGGCCAGUAUCCUUCAUGACCAUGACUAAACUAAGGGUGAGAAAAACCUUUACAAUGAAAAUGAUAAAACAGUUCAGAAAUAAACCAAAGAAAAGACUUCAAGGUGGAAAGACCUCAAGGGUUCAUGGAUUGAUAUAAUAAAUAUUGUUAAAAUGGUCUGAUUAUCCAAAGUAAUCUACAGAUUCAGUUUAGUCAUUGAAAUGCCAAUAUUAUAUAUGAAUGUUCAUAACAGUUUUAUUUAUUUAUUAGCUUUAUUUAAUUAAUUUAUUUUUUACGGGGUUUUGAGGAUCAAAGCAGGGCCUUGAACAUGCUAGGCAACUGCUCUACAACUGAGCCACAACCCCAGCCUUUAACAGUUUUAUUUGUAAUAGCAAAAACUAGAAAUGACCCAGAUAUAUUUGAAAGGUAAACUAUCAGGCAAAUUGUGAUACCUUCACAUUGUGGGUACUCAUAAUAAUAAAAAGAAAUACUCCAUCGAUACAUUCAGAUUCAUUGGUAGAAUUAUUUUUUUAAUCCAACUGAAAAUUUUAUAUACUGUAUAAUUCCAAUUAUGUGCCAUUUUGAGAUAGAAAUAUUUUGGAUAUAGACAACAGGUUAUUGAUAAUAGAUGACUGUGUCGAAAAGGGGAUAGGAGGGAGGUAAUUGAGGUUAUGAAAUUACAGCAAAAAAGGGAUCCUUGUGGUGAUAAAAUGUUCAGUAUGAUAUCUGGUAGUAGACACAAAAAACAAACACCUGGGGAAAAAACAGCUAAAUUUACAUAUUUAUACAUAAAUGUGCACAAAUGUGUGCUGGUAAAUUGAGAAAAGUGAGAUCAGUAUAUAGUGUCAAAGUUGGUAUCCUAGUUGGUAUAGUAUUUCAUAAUUCUGUGUAAUUUUUUAAAGAAUGUAACAUUUAUUUGUUUGUUUGUUUGUUUAUUUAUUUAUUUAUUUUGGUUUUUUAUGUUGUGCUGAGGAUCAAACCCAACGUCUCAGCCAUGCUAGGUAAGCCUCUACCACUGAGUUACAUUCUUCUGCUGCCAGGGUGAGUACCAGUGGCUGCAUCUGGACCAUAUAAGCUGUACUUUUGCAAGUCCCACUUCCUGGUGAUGGCCUAUGCCUCUGUACCAUCCCCACCUACCCCAAUGGCCAAAUUAGGUUCAUGCUGUGCAUCAAAUAACACAGCACCAACUUCCAGGAGCCCCUGAAGCAGCUACAGAGACACAGGUGGAGCAAAUGAAGCGGAGGUACUACAACAAAGAUGUUCACUGGACAUUGUGUAAACCUUUGAAUUCUGUCCUAUAGUAUCACUAUUAUAACAAUAGUAAGCCUUUUGAUUUUUCAGCACAGGUGCCUUGAUAUUUAUUUACAUUGCCUGAAGUUUCAUUCAGUAAUAUUUUCUAUUAUUUUACAUGGCAUUGUAAAUAAAAUUACUUAAAUUGGUCAUCACUCAUGCUUCAGACCAAAUGAUUUAACCUUGACCUAUACUUUAUGACUUUGCAGAAUAUGCUUGUUCUGUUCAUUUUUUUUGCAAACCCUUAGAGACUUGUGAUAUGUAAUAUUGGGUCCUCUGGAUGUAAAGAUAGUCUGGUUCGUGGCACUUGGGUGUCUUGAAUUCUUGUCUAAUUUCUCUAGUUAGAAUUUCAAGUCCAAUGAUAAACAGCAGUGGAAAAAGUACAUGUCUUUGACCUGCUGCUGAUUACAUGGAAGGUUUUCAGACUUUAAUACCUCUGAAAUGUACACUUAAAAUUUAUUCAAAGGAUAGAUAUUAAGAACACUUUACCACAAAAAAUAUUGAAAAAUCAAAUAGAACACAUGCUAAACGCAGUAGUAGCAGAUAUUUAUCCAAAAAUCCAAACAAUUUUGCCACAUGUAAAAAGUUAAAUAGAAGUUUCCUGGUCUUCAAAAUGCACCAGAGGAUUGGCAUUAAAUUAUACAAUGCAUUUUUUGUGAACCCACAUUGAUUAGGUUGCUGUUAGUUAGAAAGUCAGGCUCUGUGUUUUCAUUUCAUUUACUGCCCAUUUCUUUCAUUCCUUUAUCCACUAGGAAACACGUCCACAAGCAACUUAGUCUGUGCUUCAAUCAACAGCCUCCAUCUACUCUAUCCCCACAUAUGCACAAAGAAAGCUCUGCAAGUCUUUCUUCAACACCACAAAUGCACUCACAAUUAUUGUACAUUAUCCUGGUUCAUACUGAGUUCCUGGUGAAGAUGUUUGACAAGGCAGUGUAUGUAUCCCAUACACUGUAUGUAAGAUUGCCUUUCUUU
rnacentral:lncRNA from 1 species